rnacentral:tRNA from 1 species
GUGGGUAGAGCUCAGUGGUAGAGCACAUGCUUAGCUUGCUCAAGGUCCUGGGUUCAUUACCCAGUACCUCCA